CCGGAUGGGGCACCGCGGUGCCGCCGCGAUCAGAUCGCGGGUACGGCGGUUCCACUCCGCCUGUUCGUU
rnacentral:tRNA from 1 species